rnacentral:rRNA from 1 species
UACGUAGGGGGCAAGCGUUGUCCGGAAUCAUUGGGCGUAAAGAGCGUGUAGGCGGCCCGGUAAGUCCGCUGUGAAAGUCCAGGGCUCAACCCUGGAAUGCCGGUGGAAACUGUCGGGCUAGAGUCCGGAAGAGGCGAGUGGAAUUCCUGGUGUAGCGGUGAAAUGGCGCAGAUAUCAGGAGGAACACCGAUGGCGAAGGCAGAUCUCUGGGCCGUAACUGACGCUGAGGAGCGAAAGCGUGGGGAGCGAACAGG